GGCGAACGGGUGAGUAACACGUGGGUGACCUGCCCUCCACUCUGGGAUAAGCCUGGGAAACCGGGUCUAAUACCGGAUAGGACCUCUGGGUGCAUGCCUGGUGGUGGAAAGUUUUUUCGGUGGGGGAUGGGCCCGCGGUCUAUCAGCUUGUUGGUGGGGUGAUGGCCUACCAAGGCGACGACGGAUAGCCGGCCUGAGAGGGUGAUCGGCCACACUGGGACUGAGACACGGCCCAGACUCCUACGGGAGGCAGCAGUGGGGAAUCUUGCGCAAUGGGCGGAAGCCUGACGCAGCAACGCCGCGUGAGGGAUGACGGCCUUCGGGUUGUAAACCUCUUUCGCGAUCGACGAAGGUCCGGUUUUUGCUGGGCUGACGGUAGGUCGAGAAGAAGCACCGGCCAACUACGUGCCAGCCGCCGCGG
rnacentral:rRNA from 1 species